AUUGAACGCGGCGGCAUGCUUUACACAUGCAAGUCGGACGGCAGCACAGAGAAGCUUGCUUCUUGGGUGGCGAGUGGCGAACGGGUGAGUAACAUAUCGGAACGUACCGAGCAGUGGGGGAUAACUAAUCGAAAGAUUAGCUAAUACCGCAUAUCUUCUGAGGAAGAAAGCAGGGGACCAUUUGGCCUUGCGCUGUUUGAGCGGCCGAUAUCUGAUUAGCUAGUUGGUGGGGUAAAGGCCUACCAAGGCGACGAUCAGUAGCGGGUCUGAGAGGAUGAUUCGCCACACUGGGACUGAGACACGGCCCAGACUCCUACGGGAGGCAGCAGUGGGGAAUUUUGGACAAUGGGCGCAAGCCUGAUCCAGCCAUGCCGCGUGUCUGAAGAAGGCCUUCGGGUUGUAAAGGACUUUUGUCAGGGAAGAAAAGGGCGGGGUUAAUACCCCUGUCUGAUGACGUACCUGAAGAUAAGCCCCG
rnacentral:rRNA from 1 species